CUGCGGAGGCGGGGCUGCGGCGGAGGCGUGGGCCUUCCUGGGGUCCGCCUCCGCUGCGGGAGAGGUCCGGGUCUCUGGCGGAGCUGAGGCCGCCGGUUCCGUCCGAGGAAGGUUCCGCGUCACGGAAGUGGAAGUCACAUGCUAACCAAGCUGUGCGCGCUUCUAGCUUCUAGCGUCGCUGAGCGAUUUCCUUUUACUAAGCGCAGUUUGCCGCAGAAUGUCGAGCGAUACAGUGGCCACCGUAUCUUAACACCCCCUAUUUCAUACCCCGUCACAGUGUGCGUCGCUCUGAACUUUUGUGAACGCUUCUGCAAAAGACCCUCAAAGUAUUGCUAGCUCUCAAGACAAGGUUUCUCUGUGUAGCCUUGGCUGAACUGCUCCCUAGACCAAGCUGGCCCUGAACCCGCCUGCCUCUGCCUCCCCUCCUGCUGGGAUCACAGAAGAAAACCUGCAAGAGGCAGCUCUGUUCUUCCACCAUGGAUCACAGGAGAGAACUCAGGCCCAGCGAAUGACCUGGACAGGAGCCAAGGCCUAGUCCUGCGAUGGCUGUUGCUGCUAUCAACCUGACCAUGAAAGCUUACACCUGCCAACUGAAGCAAAAGCUAACCGCCAUGCAUGCUUCUGGAAGAAUCUCCAUUUGCUUGCUUACUUGCCCUAUCUUAUCGUUUUAGAAGAUAAAAUGAGACUG